CCUGUGGACAUGACACAUCAUAAACACACCAAAGAGCCUUAAAAUCCUCAUUAACUUUAUUAUGCAUAAGAAGAUGCAGGCUAAAUAAACAUAGCACAGUUGCAGUUUCAAUCAGUCAAGACAUUAUUGUUUGAUCUGCUACACAUUAUUUUGAUUGUGUGCUGCUUCAAGACAGUCUUUGUGAUUUUGGCUGAGGCACUUGAUAACAUGCAGUUAUGGUUAUAAUUCUCUGCAGAUAAAUGCGGUAAUUGAUAUGGCUCAAGACAACAGAGGAGCAAAGGAAGUGGACUUUAAGUAGCAGCCAAAGGCAGUCACAUUUAAGAAUAAAGGGAAUUCCUCUAAACCUCAGCUAAAUGGCUUGAUCUGGAGUUGAGUAUCCUAAACAGGCAUGUGCCGAUAAUACAUUUUCAAAAUUUUCUCACCGUUUAUGACAUUAACACAGUAUAUUAAAAAUGACAAUGUUUACCAGUACUUUUUCUCAUUGAGUAGCAUUUGAAUCAAAAAGCCACUUCAUAGCUACUGAUUGUUUUUUUUGUUUUUUUUUAUUGUAAUGCCUUCAAGAAGAAAGAUAUGGUGCUACCUUCAAAGGCUUCUUUCCCAAUGCGACAGACAACCUAAAAGUACUGUCUGCCCAGGCGGCCUCCUCCUAAAUGGAAGAGUAAUGAUGUUGUGCAUGUUGAUUAUUAUGAUAUGUUGUAUAACUUAUUAUCGGCACAAACCUCAUCCUCAUCCUGAAUUGCAUUCAAGCUAGCGUACUUAUUUUUGUCGCUUAACUGUAAACAGAUAUAAAUAACACUCAUUUCAAUGUUGAAUGGUCCUUAUGCGCAGCUUUGUAAACAUGCCUCCAAGCCAGGCUUCAUUUCACUGAACAUUACAUUAUACAUUAUUAUAUAUUACAUUCGCACACCCCAUCCAUCAUGAUUAUUAGAAAAAUGUACAAAACCUAAAAGGUUCCCCCAAAAAUAUAACUCACCAUUCUCAAAUUCAUUCAAUGAUUAUUAUCUUAGUGUAUUUGAUAUGUUGCUCUGGGAACAGUUCUGUGCAGUGUUGGGUUGUUCUGCCCGGUCCCAGUGUUGUAGGUAGUUUCAAAGCUUGUAGAGACUCUAGUUGGUGUGCUUCAGUAUUGGAGUAAGUCCAUGUAACUUGACCUUGCAUCCUGGACACAGGUUUACCUGCAAGUCAUGCUAGUCGUCUAGAUGCUGCUCCUCCCAGGUGGACGUGGGGAUGGCGCUGUAUGGGUCCAUGAUGACUUUGGCACAGCGGAUAAUCAUGGCCACCAGCAGCAGGCAGAGGAAAGCAAUGCAUGCCAGAGUCAAGCCCUGGUCCACAUCCACGAACGCGGGGUCUGG
ensembl:lncRNA